rnacentral:rRNA from 1 species
UACGGAGGGGGCAAGCGUUAUUCGGAAUUAUUGGGCGUAAAGGGCGCGUAGGCGGCUAGCUGUGUCAAAGGUGAAAUCCCUCGGCUCAACUGAGGAACUGCCUUUGAAACUGUCUGGCUUGAGGCCGGGAGAGGGUAGCGGAAUUCCCAGUGUAGCGGUGAAAUGCGUAGAUAUUGGGAGGAACACCAGUGGCGAAGGCGGCUACCUGGACCGGUUCUGACGCUGAGGCGCGAAAGCGUGGGUAGCAAACAGG